rnacentral:rRNA from 1 species
AUUACCGAGUGAGGGCCCUCUGGGUCCAACCUCCCACCCGUGUUUAUUUUACCUUGUUGCUUCGGCGGGCCCGCCUUAACUGGCCGCCGGGGGGCUCACGCCCCCGGGCCCGCGCCCGCCGAAGACACCCUCGAACUCUGUCUGAAGAUUGAAGUCUGAGUGAAAAUAUAAAUUAUUUAAAACUUUCAACAACGGAUCUCUUGGUUCCGGCAUCGAUGAAGAACGCAGCGAAAUGCGAUACGUAAUGUGAAUUGCAAAUUCAGUGAAUCAUCGAGUCUUUGAACGCACAUUGCGCCCCCUGGUAUUCCGGGGGGCAUGCCUGUCCGAGCGUCAUUGCUGCCCUCAAGCCCGGCUUGUGUGUUGGGCCCCGUCCUCCGAUCUCCGGGGGACGGGCCCGAAAGGCAGCGGCGGCACCGCGUCCGGUCCUCGAGCGUAUGGGGCUUUGUCACCCGCUCUGUAGGCCCGGCCGGCGCUUGCCGAUCAACCCAAAUUUUUAUCCAGGUUGACCUCGGAUCAGGUAGGGAUACCCGCUGAACUUAAGCAUAUCAAUAAGCGGAGGAAANAAAAMCCAA